rnacentral:rRNA from 1 species
GAGUAAAGCUCCGGCGCUUCGGGAGAGGCCUGCGGCCCAUCAGCUAGUUGGUAGGGUAACGGCCUACCAAGGCAGAGACGGGUAGGGGGCGUGAGAGCGCGGACCCCCACUACUGGCACUGAGAUACGGGCCAGACUCCUACGGGAGGCAGCAGUAAGGGAUAUUGCGCAAUGGACGAAAGUCAGACGCAGCGACGCCGCGUGGGCGAUGAAGGCCUUCGGGUUGUAAAGCCCUUUUAUGGGGGAAGAGAAAAAGGACGGUACCCCAGGAAUAAGUCCCGGCUAACUACGUGCCAGCAGCCGCGGUAAAACGUAGGGGACAAGCGUUAUCCGGAUUCACUGGGCGUAAAGAGCGUUGAGGCGGUUCCGUAAGUUGGGCGUGAAAGCUCCGGGCUUAACUCGGAGAUGUCGUUCAAUACUGCGGGGCUUGAGGACAGCAGAGGAAGGUGGAAUUCCCGGUGUAGUGGUGAAAUGCGUAGAUAUCGGGAGGAACACCCGUGGCGAAGGCGGCCUUCUGGGCUGUUCCUGACGCUGAAGGCGAAAGCUAGGGGAGCGAACGGGAUUAGAUACCCCGGUAGUCCCUAGCUGUAAACGGAUGGAUGCUGGGUGUGGGGGGUGUAAAUUCCCUCUGUGCCGAAGCAAACGCGUUAAGCAUCCCGCCUGGGGACUACGGCCGCAAGGCUAAAACUCAAACGAAUUGACGGGGGCCCGCACAAGCAGCGGAGCGUGUGGUUUAAUUCGAUGCUACACGAAGAACCUUACCUGGGUUUGACAUGCACGUGGUAGGGAACCGAAAGGGGACCGACCUUCGGGAGCGUGCACAGGUGCUGCAUGGCUGUCGUCAGCUCGUGCCGUGAGGUGUCGGGUUAAGUCCCGUAACGAGCGCAACCCUUGCCCUUAGUUACAAGUGUCUAAGGGGACUGCCCGGGACAACUGGGAGGAAGGUGGGGAUGACGUCAAGUCAGCAUGGCCUUUAUAUCCAGGGCUACACACACGCUACAAUGGCCGGUACAAUAGGUUGCGAAGUCGUGAGGCGGAGCCAAUCCUCAAAGCCGGUCUCAGUUCGAAUUGCAGUCUGCACUCGACUGCAUGAAGCUGGACUUGCUAGUAAUCGCAGGUCAGCUAUACUGCG